rnacentral:rRNA from 1 species
CAGCCGCCGCGGUAAUACGAAGGGUGCAAGCGUUACUCGGAAUUACUGGGCGUAAAGCGUGCGUAGGUGGUGGUUUAAGUCCGUUGUGAAAGUCCUGGGCUCAACCUGGGAAUUGCAGUGGAUACUGGGUCACUAGAGUGUGGUAGAGGAUAGUGGAAUUUCCGGUGUAGCAGUGAAAUGCGUAGAGAUCUGGAGGAAUACCGGUGGCGAAGGCGGCUAUCUGGGCCAACACUGACACUGAGGCACGAAAGCGUGGGGAGCAAACAGGAUUAGAUACCCCAGUAGUCCCUGUCUCUUAUAC